rnacentral:rRNA from 1 species
AGCGAACGUUAGCGGCGGGCUUAACACAUGCAAGUCGAACGAGAAUGUAGGCUUCGGCCUACUAGUAAAGUGGCGGACGGGUGCGUAACACGUGGGUAAUCUACCUUUCCGGCGGGGGAUAACGAUUCGAAAGGAUCGAUAAUACCGCGUACGACGGCGGAAACUCCGGUUUCUGUCGGGAAAGACGGCCUCUUCAUGAAAGCUGUCACCGGAAGAUGAACUCGCGGCCCAUCAGCUAGUUGGCGAGGUAACGGCUCACCAAGGCAUAGACGGGUAGCUGGUCUGAGAGGAUGAUCAGCCACACUGGGACUGCGACACGGCCCAGACUCCUACGGGAGGCAGCAGUGGGGAAUAUUGGGCAAUGGGCGCAAGCCUGACCCAGCCACGCCGCGUGAGUGAUGAAGGCCUUCGGGUCGUAAAGCUCUGUGGGGAGGGACGAAAAAGACGGGAGCUAAUAUCCCCGGACUUGACGGUACCUCCUUAGCAAGCACCGGCUAACCCUGUGCCAGCAGCCGCGGUAAUACAGGGGGUGCAAACGUUGCUCGGAAUUAUUGGGGCGUAAAGCGCGCGUAGGCGGCUUUGCAAGUCGGAUGUGAAAGCCCUCGGCUUAACCCGAGGAAGUGCAUCCGAAACUGCAUAGCUAGAGUACCAAAGAGGAUCGCGGAAAUUCCCGGUGUAGAGGUGAAAUUCGUAGAUAUCGGGGGGAACACCAGUGGCGAAGGCGGCGAUCUGGUUGGAAACUGACGCUGAGGCGC